rnacentral:rRNA from 1 species
CUAAGCAUAUCAAUAAGCGGAGGAAAAGAAACCAACAGGGAUUGCCCCAGUAACGGCGAGUGAAGCGGCAGGAGCUCAAAUUUGAAAUCUGGGGUCCCCGACCUCCGAGUUGUAAUUUGGAGAGGCAUCUUCGGGGGGGAGCGCCGGCCCAUGUUCCUUGGAACAGGACGUCGCAGAGGGUGAGAAUCCCGUGCCAGGCCGGCUGCCUCCUCCCGGGUGAAGGGCCUUCGACGAGUCGAGUUGUUUGGGAAUGCAGCUCCAAGUGGGUGGUAAGUUUCAUCUAAAGCUAAAUACCGGCGGGAGACCGAUAGCGCACAAGUAGAGUGAUCGAAAGAUGAAAAGCACUUUGAAAAUAGAGUCAAAAAGUACGUGAAAUUGUUGAAAGGGAAGCGCUUGAGACCAGACUCGGGCCCGGGCAAACACCGCGCCCCCCGGGGCCGUGCAAUUGCCUGGGCCCGGGCCAGCAUCAGUCGGCUUGGCGGGACAAAGGCGCGGGGAAUGUGGCUCCCCUCGGGGAGUGUUAUCAGGCCCGCGCUCAAUGCCGCCGACGCCGACUGAGGACCGCGCCUCGGCUAGGAUGCUGGCUUAAUGGCCUUCAGCGACCCGUCUUGAAACACGGACCAAGGAGUCUAACAUCUAUGCGAGUGUUUGGGCGCCAAACCCUUGCGCGGAAUGAAAGUGAGCGGAGGUGGGAACCCCCAACCGGGGCGCACCAUCGACCGAUCCUGAUGUCUUCGGAUGGAUUUGAGUAGGAGCAUAGCUGUUGGGACCCGAAAGAUGGUGAACUAUGCCUGAAUAGGGUGAAGCCAGAGGAAACUCUGGUGGAGGCUCGCAGCGGUUAGACGGCAAAUCUCUCUGAUAUCCGCUAAAUAAGAGAGAAUUG